AGAGCUGUGGUGUAGUGGCUAUCACGUCUGCUUCACACGCAGAAGGUCUUGGGUUCGAUCCCCAACAGCUCUA
rnacentral:tRNA from 1 species